GUUGUAUGUAAGAAAAUAUGAGAUACAAUGGAUCAAAAUGAGUUCUCCAGAGAGGCACCAAAAUUUACUAUGGGAGCAUGGAGGACAAUGAGAUGAUCUCUGCCUGGGGAUGGGGGCACAUUGAUGGAAGUGAGCAGGCGAUCUGAGUGCAGAGGCACAGAAGUCAUCAGGCGGAGGCUGGGAAGCAGGGCUCUCCCAGGUAGUAAGAACAUCCUGCUUAAAAGCCCAGAAAGUAGGACAACAGUCAGUAACUGAAUUAGCCAAAUAUUCAGAAGAAGGCAGCAUGCCCCAAAUGUCUCCAGUCACAAUUAAGCUACUGGCUUUCCUUCUGCAUGGAACUGGGUUCGUUGCCAAACAUUCCUGUCAAGUGAGGCAGCUACAAAUUCAGCGUUUCCAAUGGAAAACUCAUGAUUUCCUGCUCUGCUUCCAAGAUCUG
rnacentral:lncRNA from 1 species